UACAGAGGGGGCAAGCGUUGUUCGGAAUUACUGGGCGUAAAGGGCGCGUAGGCGGCCUCUUAAGUCGAACGUGAAAUCCCCGGGCUCAACCCGGGAACUGCGUCCGAUACUGGGGGGCUUGAAUCCGGGAGAGGGAUGUGGAAUUCCAGGUGUAGCGGUGAAAUGCGUAGAUAUCUGGAGGAACACCGGUGGCGAAGGCGGCAUCCUGGGCCGGUAUUGACGCUGAGGCGCGAAAGCCAGGGGAGCAAACGGG
rnacentral:rRNA from 1 species